CUGAGGCGGCAGGGGCGGGGCCGCCGCGCGUGAUCCCGUGGGUGUGGCCGCGGUACGUGCGCUCCGUUGUCAUUGGCGCCGCACCCGGAAGAGUCACUGGCGCCUGCGCGGUGGGGCGGCCGCGCGAUCCUCUCCCAGCCCGCCGAGGAGAUGGAGGCGGCGGCGUGGCGGCGGCAGCGGGAGCAGGAACAGGAACAGGAACAGCAGGAGCGGGAGCAGGAGGAUGGUGGGCGGGUGCUGUCACGAUCCCUGUCGGGACAGUCUUACUGGCUGGACCUGUGGCUCUUCAUCCUCUUCGACCUGGCACUUUUCCUGCUUAUCUACCUGCUGCCCUGAGGGCGCGGCCCAGGGCCAUUCCCACCAAGGGAAUUCUCACCUAUUCCGCACCUUAUGAACACAGGCGGUGGAAGAGGAGGACCAUUUGUGCGCGAUAAACAACUGGGGACAAGACUCUAGUGGAGUCUCUAUGGAGGAGGCACAUUUUUAUACACUGUAUCUUAAGAGAUCUCUGUGUGUCACAAGUGUUACUGUUCAGGUUUUACCUGUAUCUUGUUUGUGUGUCCUAAACUGUGCCUUAAAGGUCACGUAAGACAGACUGACUGUGCUUUUGUGAUUAGUACCUAAAGGCUUCUUGUGCAGAAAUGGAAGUAUGCACUGUUUGAGUAAAAUCUACUGAAAGGACACCCUGCAGAGUGGCUGAGAAUAAAACCCAGCUCUUGUGUACACUGAAGUUAGAGCAUCAUCUGUUCCUUCAACAGAUGAAGCUUAGCCAGCUGUUUUACUUCCAAAAAGUUAAUUCUGAUGGGUUGAGGCUGGUUGGUUUUGUAUGAUGUCUUUCUUCUUUCUUUACCUUUGGCAGUUGCUGCGCCUGCUCAGGCUCAGUAUUUAUACAUAUAAAUACAUACAUGUAUAAACAUGCCCGUGUUUAACCCA